UGUCGUUUCGUAAUUUUGGCUGAAACGAGCCCCUCCAGUUCUUCCCCAUCUCCCAUUCCCCUCCCUCACGCUUUCCACACGGGGCGACAAAAUCUAGCAAUCCCUAGCCGCCGGAAUUCGACGGUCGUAGCCGGCGAGAGUCCACAGCCGACGGGGAGAGCCUCUCCGGUUGGAACGACCACCCACAUCGGGGCUGAGGGGAACCGCGCUGACGUCGACCGACGGAGAGACGCCGCGCUGCGGGCGCGGCGGGGAGAAGAGAGGAAGGGGGCGCGCGUGGGCGGCUGGCCGACGGGAACCAGCGUGUCUCUGCCACAUCUACGAACUGCAGAAACAAAGGUGCAAGACAAUAGAGAAGAUAGAAUUCAAGAUUCAGCAACUUUUAUCUACCAUCCAGUUCUACAAGGCACGGGGAUGCAAGUUCAUGGCCAAAAUAAUUGGAACAACACUUUUACCUUUGCUGUUUUUCACUGGGAGAAACUUGCCCAGCUCUGCCAAUAUUUUUGCCCAAUAUUCACCAGAAAUUUUGCCUGAUCAGCAUGAAGAGUUGCAGAUACAAUUACGUUUUCAGAAUUUCCCCAUGAUCUUUUGCCUUGUUUUCGUCUCUAUUUUACUCUGUUUUUUCGCUGUGGGAGGAGAGCUCCACAACGCUAGGCCAUUGCGUCCAGCGGUGGCUGGGGAAGGAGUUGUACGGGGGAUCUGGCUGGUGGGCGUAGGAUUUUCUGUGCUGGAUGGAGGGGAGGAUCACGUGAGGGAAAGGAUGGCUGGUUGUCAGGACGUGGCAACAAGAUGGGGAAGCUGGACUUGCCUUCUUUAGCACAUGGGGUGGGGGACCGACAGGGCACUUUCCUUAAUUGCCGGCCGCGAGAUACGCCCGCGUAGCGCGCGGGCGCUGUGUAGCAGCGUCCAUCUAUCAAUUAGCUCUUAGGAUCGGGAAUAGGAUUGCCAAUGUAAUCAUUGCUGGGUAUUACUCAGAUUGCGCUCGUCGUGUAACUCUUUUUUGUUUAAAGGACAAAAAAUAUCAUGUUGUUUCUUUUCUGGAAA